GGGGACGAUCAUACCAGCACUAAUGCACCGGAUCCCAUCAGAACUCCGAAGUUAAGCGUGCUUGGGCGAGAGUAGUACUAGGAUGGGUGACCUCCUGGGAAGUCCUCGUGUUGCACCCC
rnacentral:rRNA from 1 species